UUGAGAAACGCCAUCUAGAUCGUUUUACAGCAGAGCUGCAGACGACUCAUUCAUUGCGCGGUUUCUACUCUUCAAGUCAUUGGCAAAUUGAUACUUGGGAAAAUCAGUUCACAAAUGAGAUCUUAAUCAUUCAACACAAAAUCAAGGGAUCCCACCAGAUACAUGGAGGCGAGCCAGACCCGAGAUUGCACGGUUUACGUCUCAAACUUCCCAUUUUCGCUAACAAACAAUGACCUUCAUAAAAUUUUUGGACAGUACGGCACCGUAAAUAAGGUAACCAUUGUCAAAGACCGACAGACGAGAAAGAGUAAGGGAGUAGCCUUCAUCGUUUACAAAUCGCAAAAGGAGGCGUCCAAUUGCAUCCAGCAGACCAACCAGAAAGAAAUGUUGGGUCGUAUUUUGAAAUGUUCUAUUGCCAAAGAUAACGGCCGGACAGAGGAAUUUGCGACUCAAAAAAGAACCUACGAAGACAAAUCCCGCUGUUUUGAAUGUGGUCAAGAAGGCCACCUGAGUUAUCAAUGCCCUAGUAACGCACUGGGAAGUCGCGAACCGCCCAAGAAAGUAAAAGGGACAGGAAAAUUUCAACAUGAUGACGGCGACCAGGACGAUUCGCUCGGUGCUGCAAUUCGUUAUGAACAGCAACAGAGAACGACACAAGAGCAAUUAGCUUCAACUACGCCAAAUAUCCGAAGAAAGAAAUUUAAACCAAGUUCUUACUUUAGUGAUGAAGAAGAGAUCAGUGAUUGAUGCAGUUGUAUUUUUUAAAUGUUGUAACCCUUUUGCGACUCUGCCUGACAGGCUGAUAUGGGAAUCAUUGGACCUGCUUAAUUAGACAAUCGACGCCGAAGAAUCCAACAACGCCGAAGUUCCUUAGCUUUGGUAACAUCUUACUAGACUUGUCCAAUUCCAAAGGAAUAGCGACCAUACUGAUCGGGAUCGGAGCGACAUACAAGUUAUGGAAAAAAACAAAGUCAGCCUUUGAUCGAUUGCGCAUUUGGAUCGAAGAUAGAAGACACAAGUCCAGUGUUGAACCCAUCCCUGUCUCCAUCAAUAAAUAUUGGCGAAAACUCA
rnacentral:misc_RNA from 1 species